UCCCAAUGCCUAAAAUCUAGGUCAGGGAGAAGUGGCUGCAUCUCUUUUGCCUAAACCAACAACUUUCCUUGGGUUUCUCUCAUGCUUUAUUUAUUACAGCACCAUGGGGCUCAAUGUAAUGCAGCGAAUCCAAGACAUUAUCUUGGAAUGAACAGAUGCCAUCAUCAGCAAAGCCAGCCAUGUUGGACUCUGAUGCUGUCAGCUGUCACAGCGAUGACUUCCUUUGGUUGACUGCAGCAUUUGUUAUCAUCUCAUUUCGCUUUGUGGAGAGUGGGUUGUUUACUUUGUUUUGUGUCCAUAUCUCUAUGAAAGCAUUGCUCCACAAAUUUAUGGAAUGGCCAGCUUAGGAUGUACACCGACCAGCCGAAACAUUCUGACCACUGACAGCUGCAUUGAGCCCUGCCGUAACAAUGAGUGGAUCAAAGAAAAGAAAAGUCGACAGUGAGUGUCGAGUGUUUCAGAAGGAGUGGACUACUAAAUAUUUUUUCGCUUAAAACCCGUUGUGUUUUUUAAAGAAUACAAUAUCAGCCGGCACUUUUCCGCGAAGCAUGCUAACUACGCUAGCAACCAGUCAGCGCAAUAAAGGACAGCUACGGUCAGAGGCUGGCAGCCAGUUUACACACUCAGCAAAAUACGUUUUUUCUGCAAACUACGAUUCAAGAGUCAAGCACGAAGGCAAGUUAUUUGCUAGCAUUCAAAAUAGCAAAGGCUAGCAAGCCUUUCUCCGAAGGGGAGUUUUUGAAAGAAUGCAUGGUAGAGACAGCAAGUCUCCUGUGUCCAGAGAGCAAAAACAAAUUUUAAAAAAAUAGUUUAAUACACAGGACAGUUACUUGCAGUGUUGAACUAAUCGACGAAGACUUAGCCAGCUCACUGAACGAAAAAGCGGAGUCCUUCAAGCUAUAUUCAUUAGCACUGGACGAAAGUAAUGACACAAAAGACACUGCUCAGCUUUUAAUUUUUAUUAGAGGGAUUAAUUAACAUUUUCAGACAACAGAGGAAUUUUUGACCAUGAAUCCAUGAAGGGGAAAACACGUGGAGAGGACUGUAGGACAGGGUGUCUGGGUCAUCCAGAGGAUGAAGCUGCUGUGGUGUAAACUCCCCAAUGUCACCACGGAUGGAUCACCAAACUCGACAGGAAAAAACGUCGGGCUGCUGAAAAGACUCCAGGAUAAGGUGAAGGAGGAAAACCCUGAGCUGGAUGUGAUUUUCCUACACUGCAUGAUCCAUCAGGAAGCGCUCUGUAAGUCUGUUUUGCAUCUUGAUCAUGUCGUGAAGCCAGUCGUAAAACUCGUUAACUUUAUACCAGGGAGGGCUUCAGCAUCGUCAAUUCAUGAAGUUUCUUGAAGAAACUUUGACACCAGACUUUGAUGCUCUGGCAAUAAAAGUGACCAACAACACUGUUCCCACUGAAACUGAAUGUGAGUAUUCUUUACUUUGUCAGUACUGUCUUUAACAUGUAAUUCAUAUUAGUUUGCACAAUCUCCAACCAUCUGAUGCUGGUCUGACCUGUCUGUCAAAUUUCAGAAGUCAAUGUGGCCCCUGAGCCAAAAAAUUUGCCCACCCCUGAUCGAAAUGAUAACCCGAGGCAUAAUGUUAUUGAAAUUAAACUUAUUUUUUCUUUAGAAAUGUCAGGUUGUUUAAAAUGUUUAAUAAAAAGAUAAUCAAUUGAAUGUGAA